UAUUGCCAUCUUAUCAGUCGCCCUAAAACUGAUAACAGUUGAUGUCAUGCUUUUAAGUCGCUCUACAUUUGUUAAACACUACCUGUUUAUGAUUGAACGAAAAUGACAGCGUUAAGGCUCUCAGUGUUAUUUACAAUUUUGGUGCUAAUUCGCUUCGAAAGAACGGAUGGAAUAAGUUAUGAGGACAUGGACGACUAUUGUUGGUCUCGCAUUUCCAUGAACGAUGAUAAUCAACUUUCACUUUACAUUCCCGGGAAUGAAGAAUGUGAGGUGACCAUAACAACGACAUGCCAUUUUCCAAACAUGAUGCUAUAUUUCCAGAGGUUUUCAGUAGACUGCUUGUACGGAACUGUCACCAUAAGGAAUCAAUAUGGCGAGCCAUCAUCUGGCCUCCCGGAAAGUCUUUGCGGUAACGUUUCAAGCAGUCAAGUCUACACACACAAUGGUGACGUCAAGAUAAAAUUUAUUCCCGAAAAUGGAUGGACCUACGCCUCCUUCUCUUUGAUCGUGACGCUAUAUUCGGAUUCAAGUAAUGCGAUAACAUAAGCGUCUGCGUUUAAUCCUGUUUAUCCGAAUAUGUUCCUUUAUUCGGUUAGUUGACUAAAUUUGUAUCUCUGCAAAGCAGCCAUUUCAUCAAGUUUAAUAUGAUCCGGAACAUCAUGUUAUGUUUUACUGUACACAAGAAUUAUAUUAUCUUAUUAGACAAACCAUCUGAUCAGUGCACAUACGCGUUUUGUUUUCUAUACAGACUGGUCAUUGAAGAAUUCUAACACCAGGCACAGUUUAAGCCAUCAUUAUUUUGACCCUAAUAUGUGUUUUCCUGAUUUACUGGAACCCCAUUGUAGUCACAGUGCAGGGGCGAUUUUGAGAAGUGACAUAGAUGUAGAGGAAACAGUUAAAUCAUAAUUUUAUAAAUUAAUGUACUGUUCAUAUUACAUAUUUCAUGGAAAUGAAGUUCUUUAAACCAAAACAAUUAGGAUUGCUAUAUCUCUUCGUGAAGUAUGACAGUGAGUGUAUUUGGUGCAUUAUAAAUAAAGAAGUAAUUAAACU